rnacentral:lncRNA from 1 species
CCACUGCUUAGUUGCCCUCCUCUGGGCAUUCUCUAACUUGUCAAUGUUUUUCCUUAAACUCUGGGCACUCAGAGAUGAAGUAGUUUUCCUAGGGUGCCAUAGGUGCUAAAUGGAAGAGCUUAGAUUCGAACCUAGUCCUUUGAUUUAAAUUCAAUGAUUCUUGCAUCAUCUUAAAGUAUCCCUGAUUGUGUCAAUAUGGGUGGCUACUCACUCUAACAACUCGGAUAUAUAUGAUAUUCAUUGCCUUUUUUAAUAGAUUUUUUUAGAUAAAUAGAUUAAUAGAUUAAUAGUUUUUUUUUUAAACACUUACCUUCCAUCUUAGAAUCAAUACUGGGUACUGAUUCCAAGGCAGAAGAGUGAUAAGAGCUAGGCAAUAGAGGUUAAGUGGCUUACCCAGAGUCACACAGCUAGGAAGUGGCUGAGGCCAGAUUUGAACCCAGAACCUCCCAUCUCUGGGGCUGAUUCUCAAUCACACACACACACACACACACUCUUUAAAUGAUCUAUGCAUGUCUGUGUACUUUGUUGUAAGAAACUGAUGCUACUGAUUAUGACAGAAAAACCCAACAUGAGCCCUUCUGCCCUUUCCACAUCAUGCAUGCUUGAAAUUGGUCAUAUGAGCAAUAUGAGCUGCAGCUGCAGCCACAGUCUGAAGGACCUGUUGCUAUUUGUGACCUCUGCCUCAAAGCAGGAAGGACCUGAAGUCCAAAAACAGCUAUUUCACUUACCUGGUAUAUCAUGAGAAGAAAUGGCAGUUAAGAAGAUAAAAUCAGGAAGAGGCACUGGACCUCACCAAAUAAAUGCAGAAGAAAGUCAAGCUGAAGACA